UGAAUUUUGAUGUAACACGCGAUCAAGAAAGCGUCUGAGGUGCAGAGGAGUCUCUGCUCGGAUCUGUUAAGCAAUAGCUUCAGCACUUAAGGGGGGUUUUAUGUACUUCAGAUUGUUUGUUGAUUUCUUAAGAGACGUGUUUACCUCAAACACAUGAUGCAAAAAAGCUUUAUUUUUCUGAUUAUUAUUUGGAACACAUCUCCUUUUUCCCCAGGAAACACAGCUACAACAAAUCUUCUGGAGUACCCAUUGGGAUGUCGAGCUGUGAUACCGUGUCAGCUUAACAGAAGUGAUGCGAGCACUGCCGAAUGGUUUUACAAGAAGCAAGAACAUAGCAACAAAAAACGGAUACUUUUUCAAGACAAAACAGGAGUGAUAACCAAAGAGCAGCAUUUUCGAACCAAUUUGUUACUGCUAGAGAAUAAUUAUUCCCUGGUCAUUGUUUCUUUAACAGAGGAAGAGCAAGGGCUUUACUGGUGUGAAAUUUGUGUUCAAAACAAAUGUGUGAGUGAACAACAGACAGUCGUCAGUAUAAAGAAAGGUCAGAAAAAUAGAUAGAAACUCAAGAGACAUUCUUCAUUCGAGCAGGGCACAAUUUUACUCAUGCAUGUCCAAGUGAAUUCACAAACUUAAAAUGGACUUUUGAAGCCAGUGAAGUGACUGCAGACGGAAGCCCGGUUCAAAAUCGACUGUCAUACCUUAACCCUCUUACUUUAAACAAGUCUUUAAGGAUUUUUGAUGUCAAAUUAGAAAAUGCUGGAAAGUAUACGUGCUGGACACAUGGAUGUAAUGAAUACUGGAAGAAGCUACUUACCAUCAACUUGUGUGUGAUAAUAGUACAUCGCAAUGAGGAUUCAUCUGUUUCUUGUGCUGUGAUGUGUGACAUGGAAUCCAGGAACAUCAAACCAAACGGCACAUUCAAUAUGAGGGCAGGCACGUGGACGAUUUCAGUGCUUGUUGGUCGAAAUGGGUCUUUAAUUUGCACAACAAUGCCGACGUCUGGUGGAACUACCAGCACAAAGGGACCAGCAUAUGCUUUAAACAGCACAAGUGUUUCAACAGGCACAGAGCCCAUGCUGAUCCCUGUUAUUUCUGCAACAUUAACAGCCCUAACAUGCCUUCUUUUGAUGGCAAUUUUAAUUUACUACCUCAGAUCAAGACUACGAGGAGUGUUUCCCGUUCAGCUUUGUUGCUGUGGCUUGAAUAACAAGGAGGAAGAGGAGACUCAAGUGACUUAUUCAUCCAUUGUCAUCAGGAGAUCUGCUGACAUAAGAAACGCUCCUACGACUAACAAUGAUUGUGUGUAUAGUGAAAUAAAUGUGGAAUUCAAAAAUGAAGAUGUUCCUGCCAAGACAAUCCCCACUCUCACUUAAAAAUAGUAAUGAUUUUUGUGUAUAGUUUUUUUGACUUCCCCUUGUAAAACAUUUUGUAUUAAUAGAAGUGUUACUUAAAUUUUGUAUUAACAGCAGCAGACAAGAAAAUAGGUGGCUGAAUUAUCUUUGCAAUAAAAAACGAUUUUGUAAACCUC